rnacentral:rRNA from 1 species
AUACGGGAGGCAGCAGUGAGGAAUAUUGCGCAAUGGACGAAAGUCUGACGCAGCAACGCCGCGUGGGUGAAGAAGGCCUUCGGGUCGUAAAGCCCUGUCAGGUGGGAAGAAACCUGCGUAAGCAGCUGACGGUACCACCAAAGGAAGCACCGGCUAACUCCGUGCCAGCAGCCGCGGUAAUACGGAGGGUGCAAGCGUUGUUCGGAAUUACUGGGCGUAAAGGGCGCGUAGGCGGCCAAACAAGUCUGAUGUGAAAGCCCGGGGCUUAACCCCGGAAGUGCAUUGGAAACUGUAUGGCUUGAGUUCGGGAGAGGAGGGCAGAAUUCCCGGUGUAGGGGUGAAAUCCGUAGAUAUCGGGAGGAAAACCAGUGGCGAAGGCGGCCCUCUGGAACGAAACUGACGUUGAGGCGCGAAAGCGUGGGUAGCAAACAGGAUUAGAUACCCGUGUAC